GACGUAGGGCGCGAGCGUUGUCCGGAUUUAUUGGGCGUAAAGAGCUCGUAGGCGGCUUGUUGCGUCGACUGUGAAAACCUGCGGCUCAACCCCGGGCCUGCAUUCGAUACGGGCAGACUAGAGUUCGGUAGGGGAGUCUGGAAUUCCUGGUGUAGCGGUGAAAUGCGCAGAUAUCAGGAGGAACACCGGUGGCGAAGGCGGGACUCUGGGCCGAUACUGACGCUGAGGAGCGAAAGCGUGGGGAGCAAACAGG
rnacentral:rRNA from 1 species